GGAAAAUAAGUUAUCUAAGUUCUCUUUACAAAAUUAAACUUAAAUUUUUUCGCUUAGAGUAUUCAAUAAUCACUAGACAUUCUACAACCUCAGGCAAGAACUUUCGACAAGUGAUUCCAUUUCGAGUGGACUUUUUCGAAGUGGACUAGCCAGCCAGGUUCUUUUAACAUCUUGCAGAAUAUGCGAAAUUUAAAUUGCUUGCCCAAAUUGAGAACCAAAGACAAAAACUACCGAAGCGCGCAUAAUACAAAUGAAUUCGAUUUGUGAAACAAUAAAGCUCAAUGGCAGCGCUGCCACCACCGCUGAUGGCCAAUAAUGAUAAUGAUGUCGCCGAUGUCAAAUGAAAUAACAUCACGUAUACGCGGGGCUGUGCAGCCAAUGCAAACUAUUUAUUUGCCUACUGCGAACGUGACAAAUAAUGCACAAAAUUGUCCCGUUCCCCACCCAUGUCAUUUAAAUCCUGAAACCGGAAAGAGUUGAUUUCAAGGAGUAAUGCCUCACGUAUCCAUUUGCCAUAUAAAAGCCUACUUCCGACUUUUGCCCUGGCAAAGUUUCUCCCAUAAUCCCCAUUAAGACGAUAACAGUCUCAAAAGUUACUUCAACGACAUGUAAGUGGCGAAAUAGACCCGAGUAUAUUUA